AUCCAGCUGACGACAUCCAAACAGGACGAAACGCGCAUCCUGGAU
rnacentral:hammerhead_ribozyme from 1 species